rnacentral:tRNA from 1 species
AGCUAACGUAGCAUAAUUUGGUAUUGCAAAAGACCUAAACUCUUCCUAUAGAGGUUCAAAUCCUCUCGCUAGCU